UUGAACGCUGGCGGCAGGCCUAACACAUGCAAGUCGAGCGGUAGCACAGAGAGCUUGCUCUCGGGUGACGAGCGGCGGACGGGUGAGUAAUGUCUGGGAAACUGCCUGAUGGAGGGGGAUAACUACUGGAAACGGUAGCUAAUACCGCAUAAUGUCGCAAGACCAAAGUGGGGGACCUUCGGGCCUCAUGCCAUCAGAUGUGCCCAGAUGGGAUUAGCUAGUAGGUGGGGUAACGGCUCACCUAGGCGACGAUCCCUAGCUGGUCUGAGAGGAUGACCAGCCACACUGGAACUGAGACACGGUCCAGACUCCUACGGGAGGCAGCAGUGGGGAAUAUUGCACAAUGGGCGCAAGCCUGAUGCAGCCAUGCCGCGUGUGUGAAGAAGGCCUUCGGGUUGUAAAGCACUUUCAGCGGGGAGGAAGGCGUUAAGGUUAAUAACCUUGGCGAUUGACGUUACCCGCAGAAGAAGCACCGGCUAACUCCGUGCCAGCAGCCGCGGUAAUACGGAGGGUGCAAGCGUUAAUCGGAAUUACUGGGCGUAAAGCGCACGCAGGCGGUCUGUCAAGUCGGAUGUGAAAUCCCCGGGCUCAACCUGGGAACUGCAUUCGAAACUGGCAGGCUAGAGUCUUGUAGAGGGGGGUAGAAUUCCAGGUGUAGCGGUGAAAUGCGUAGAGAUCUGGAGGAAUACCGGUGGCGAAGGCGGCCCCCUGGACAAAGACUGACGCUCAGGUGCGAAAGCGUGGGGAGCAAACAGGAUUAGAUACCCUGGUAGUCCACGCCGUAAACGAUGGAUACUAAGUGUUGGUGUUACCCAGUGCUGAAGUUAACACAUUAAGUAUCCCACCUGAGUAGUACGGUCGCAAGGCUGAUACUCAAUGGAAUUGACGGGCACCCGCACAAGCGGUGGAGCAUGUGGUUUAAUUCGAUGCAACGCGAAGAACCUUACCUGGUCUUGACAUCCACAGAACUUUCCAGAGAUGGAUUGGUGCCUUCGGGAACUGUGAGACAGGUGCUGCAUGGCUGUCGUCAGCUCGUGUUGUGAAAUGUUGGGUUAAGUCCCGCAACGAGCGCAACCCUUAUCCUUUGUUGCCAGCGGUUAGGCCGGGAACUCAAAGGAGACUGCCAGUGAUAAACUGGAGGAAGGUGGGGAUGACGUCAAGUCAUCAUGGCCCUUACGACCAGGGCUACACACGUGCUACAAUGGCAUAUACAAAGAGAAGCGACCUCGCGAGAGCAAGCGGACCUCAUAAAGUAUGUCGUAGUCCGGAUUGGAGUCUGCAACUCGACUCCAUGAAGUCGGAAUCGCUAGUAAUCGUAGAUCAGAAUGCUACGGUGAAUACGUUCCCGGGCCUUGUACACACCGCCCGUCACACCAUGGGAGUGGGUUGCAAAAGAAGUAGGUAGCUUAACCUUCGGGAGGGCGCUUACCACUUUGUGAUUCAUGACUGGGGUG
rnacentral:rRNA from 1 species